rnacentral:rRNA from 1 species
AUUGAACGCUGGCGGCAGGCUUAACACAUGCAAGUCGAGCGAGCGGCGGACGGGUGAGUAAUGUCUGGGAAACUGCCUGCUGGAGGGGGAUAACUACUGGAAACGGUAGCUCAUACCGCAUACCAUCAGAUGUGCCCAGAUGGGAUGAGCUAGUAGGUGGGGUAAUGGCUCACCUAGGCGACGGUCCCUAGCUGGUCUGAGAGGAUGACCAGCCACGCUGGAACUGAGACACGGGCCAGACUCCUACGGGGUGCAGCAGUGGGGAAUAUUGCACAAUGGGAGCGAGCCUGAUGCAGCCAUGCCGCGUGUGUGAAGAAGGCCUUCGGGUUGUAAAGCACUUUCAGCGAGGAGGCGUUAAUCGCAGAAGAAGCACCGGCUAACACCGUGCCAGCAGCCGCGGUAAUUC